CUAUGACCGCCUACUGCUUCUCCAUCCCUAUUAUUCCGUCAUCCAUAACCAUCUGAUUUUAACAUCACAAAUUCGCUUCCAUCAAAAGGUUUCAAGAUCGCAGAUAUCUUCCAACAUUCCAAUUGUUACUAGAUCGGUUGAGAAUCGCUUCCUUUUAAGUUCACCAGAGUUAGAACGAGUUCCAUCCAUCGCCUUUGCUUUUUUUUUUUAGCUGGUUGAUCAGUUGCUGUCUUCGUCUUCCAAUCGGGACCCGUCACCCGCCUUCGUUGUUUCCUUCAAUGAUGGCCCACCACAAGAUUCUGGCAACGACCAGUGAAAACUGCACCAUCACCACACGUUUUCGCUCAAAACCCCUACCGCAUCACGACUCCGAAUCGUUCGCCCCGUUCAAAUUAUACAUAAAAGGGAUUUGUCUAUAGUGAAAGUUUCCAGCCAGCGGUAUUGUGGUUGGCCUUUGAUAUCUGGUUUUGGAUUUGAGCUAAAGAUAUCCCAGCCAUGGAUCUGUUCACACUUGGUAUUCGCAGAAAAUGAAGACUGGUCGGGCUUCCCAAUACACUCUCCUCCAAUCAGGAGUUUCUUUUGUUUGUCUUCAAUUUUGGGCUGUGGGUUUGUGGAAUCAAAGUUCAUGACUUGAGGGGAAAUUCAAGCCUUAUUUGUUUGCUCAGUUGAAGGAUCUUAAAUCUAAACUUGCUAUUCACUGUGUCGUUAACGUUACCAGUGUUGCGCCGAACAAGCUCUCCAUGAUUUAAGCUAUGAUUGAAAAAGACCCGGUAAGGUCAGAGAAGGAAGAUCAUUUGGCAAGAUUGUUGAGGUGGAAUCCAGUGAAUGAAAUGUUUCGUAAUACUUUCUUAUGGUUCAGGUUGUAUAUAGUUUGCUUAUUUACAAACCUAAUUUUUUUUUGUU